rnacentral:rRNA from 1 species
UACAGAGACCUCAAGCGUUAUCCGGAAUCAUUGGGCGUAAAGCGUACCGAUCGGUGGUUUUGCAAGUCAGAGGUGAAAUCCCAAGGCUCAACUUUGGGACUGUCCUUUGAAACUGCAAGACUCGAGGGGCAAAGAGGAAGCUGGAACGAACGGUGUAGUAGUGAAAUGCGUUGAUAUCGUUCGGAACACCAAUAGCGAAGGCAGGCUUCUGGGUGCCACCUGACACUGCUAGGACGAAAGCGUGGGGAGCGAAUGGG